ensembl:lncRNA
CUGGGCAUGUCUAGAGGAUUGCAACCAUGGUGCAGAGCAAAUCAAGGCUUAAUUAUGAACAACAGAAAGACCUGGCCAUGUUAAGCCUGAAGGAGAAAUUAAGUCUUGUGGAGGACUUCAUGGUGUACAAAUAUCUGGCAUAUGGAGCAAUUUAUUGAAAGUGUGGCUGUUUCCAAAGGCAGUUGCUAACCAAUGGCAAAGGACUGCUUAGCUAUUUCAAAAAAGGUUUUAACUGAGAUGCUUUGGUUCUCAUUUUAAAUCUGUUUUUAAAGACCCAGAGCUCUUUCACAUUACACAGUUAUAGAGCUAUGAUUUCAUUUUAACCGUCAUGAUUUCAUUCUAUAGGUUCCUGGGAGCUGCUGUUUAGGAAAGGUGUUUUGAAUUCGCCACAAAAGGACUGCAGUGUUUUUCCCAAAAUAGAAAUCCCAGGUGUCCACAGGAUGCAGCCACAGUGGUCAAUGGAAAACCAUAGGACUACUAUAAUUAUGGAGUGUUAAAAGGCCUUCGGAGGCUCAGGAUCUCUAAGAAUACUGGAUGUAUUUGAAAGUCAAUGUCCUUCAAUUGGGAGAAGAGACAACAUGACAACUUGUGGAUCAAUGUGCUUCAGCUUCCUGCCCAGAACCUCACAAUCCCACAUGAAAUCCUGAAAGCUGUGCCUUGCCAUGCCACUAGUUCCCGCCUGGACCAAAAGAAAGGGCAGGGAGUCCCCUACCACCACCAUAUGUUGGAGGGCUGGCAGAGGCCAUUCUAUUGCUGAAUCUUCCAGGGUCACCUGCAAAUUCCCUGAGGACCAACAUUGUUGCCCUUGUUCCUGUUCCUUGUCAUCACUGACAACAUAUCAAAGCUAUUGCAGGUGAUCUGAAGAAUUCCCUCACUAAUCCUAUUAAGUAGACUUAAGUACGCACCAACUCCCCGUUUAAAUGCCAUACAAGAUGCCUGUUGACUUUGCCUGUUAGAUACAUUCAUGAUCUUUCCUUCUUGCCUUUUUUCUUUUUCAUUCCCUAGGUCUAUGAAAGUCCACCUGAAGCUGACAAGCAUCUUUAGCUGAUAGUUUCUCUGAGGGUGCUAACAGAAUGGAUGGAGAGGCAGGGGUUACAAGGGCAUUCUAAUUUUAAAUGUCCUCUUAUUCCUUAAGGAUUUUUAUUUCACCUGCUUUCAGGCAGGGAAGGGAAGGGACAUCUUGAUUUGCACAAUACAGUGGAAUUAGUAUAAGCUAGGAAACCUACGAGAAAUUUACAUAACAGACUAUAUUGCUUCUCCUCUAGCUUUUUGAUUACAAUGAGUAAAUAUUAGACAGGGGUCAUAAAUUCUCAACCAGUACUAAACACACAUUUACCAUAUUUACCUGUUAAACAACAAGUGGCCUGAAGCAGACAAGUUAUUCGUUUUAUUUACACAAGCAGCUGACUAUACAUAGUACAUUCAAACUGCAGGAAUAAUAGAUCAUUUUAACUCUUGCAAUACCACAUUUAUCUGAUUACCAAAUGUACUGUACAUUGUACAAAUAACACGCUGCUUCUUCUUGAAAAGAAAGAGAAAUCAACAUUGGAUUCUUGAGCUUCAUUUUGGCUUGCUCACAGUUUCAGACCUUUAAACUAACUCAUUGACAGGGGUUUUCUAGUUAUUUCAUCCUUCUACCUCCACUUUCUUCCUGCCUCCACAAGGAAGAUUUUGGCAUCAGAGGCCCCAUCUACACUGAGCAUUUAAUACGGUUCAAAGCUAGCUUCAAUCUAUGGUGGACAGAAAACAAACUUCUACAAAAGCACAUGAAAGAAAGCCCUUAAUGUGCAUUGGUGUUCUGUGCUUUGUGUAAUCACUGCUCAGACCUCAAAUUGGUUUCAGGAUUUCUUAUGUAAUAAUAAUCUGCACAGUACCAGUUUAAAAGUGUAUUAAAUGGUCAGUGUAGUUGGGGGCUGAGUGUGGUUUCACAGGCUUGAUUUUGAUUUCAAAUAUCUGCCUGGGCUAGACUUCCCACCUUGUUCUUUGUCUAGCUGGGAGGGUUUUUUUAAAUAGUAGAAUUGUCAUUGAGAAGAUAGUGAAAGAAGAAUUGAAGAAGCACAUUAACUUUGGGGUUGGUUGCACAGUAAGCAAAACAAUAAACCUUGAGCAGUGAAGAGAUGCAAUUCUCCUCUAGUCAAUUCUACUACAGCAUGUGUGGCUGUUUACAGCAGGCAGUAUAAAAGGCAGCUGACUUCAGAAUCGCCCACUUUGUGUGUGGACUUCAAAACAGAGAGAAAAUAAACAAAGAAGACAAGCCUGGCUCACUAGUUACACUUAGCAUAUUUUAAAAACAUAGACUUUUAAAAAUGAAUCAUCAAAAGAUAAAUAGUAGAAAAAGAAAUCUUGUAAUUUAUUUAUUAAUUGGAUUUAUGUUCUGAUUUUCACCGAAGAUAUUUUUGUUUUGUUUUUUCAUGUCAGGAGCAACUUGAAAAACUGCAAGUUGCUUCUGGUGUAGGAGAAAUGGCAGUCUGCAAGGAUGUUGCCCAGGGGACACCCAGAUAUUUUGAUGUUUUAUUAUCCUUGUGGGAGGCUUCUCUCAUGUCAUGGAGAGCUGGAGCUGCUUUCCCCAGAUGUAACCCAUGCCUUUUGGAAGAAGCAUUCAUGUGUUCUCUAAAAAGAAAUUUAAAAAUUACAUAUGCAAUGCUUACCUGAACCUGUUGUUUUAUUUCACCUGUGCAUUGUUAGUUUUGAAUAAAAGAUUUGCCGUGACAUUUUGAUUUAUUCUUUUUAUGAUGCAGGAACCUAUUCUUAUUCCUUCCAUGUUAUUUUUACCUCUGAGACCAAAUUCUCUGUUGCAGCAGUAAUGUCCUGAAAUAUAUCUGCUUCAUGAAGUGAGGUACAUCUGGUCCUUGGGACUUACAUAAUUCUGAGAU